UCUUUCGCGAUGGACUCUCAGAUGCUUUAAUUUGACUCUUUUUUUUUUCUUCACGAAUUUUAGAACACCUUAGGUGAAUCAUAAUGCAUGCAAUCCUACGAUCAAAGCAGGUUUUAGUAUUCUUGCAUUAUCGACGGAAAUGAAACGACACCACGAUUUAGGGUUUUCAAUAAGUGCAUGAUUUUAAUUUUAUUGCUAAAUUUGUUUAGUUUUUACAUUUCUUUCUUUAUGUUCACAGUGGCUACUAUGUGCAGAGACAACAGCUUGACGGUAAAAAUACCAAUGACCUUGUAAAUCUAUGAGAUGUGCUGUCUAAUAGCAGCUAGAGUAACUCUACAGCACUAUAGCAUAUCGGGCUUUAAAAUGGUGAUCAGCUAUCUUAAACUUUUGAGCAAUUCUUCAAGUUGUAUAUUACUACUUCUAAUUUCUUGUGGAUUUUCUUUGUAAUUGGUGACUGCAUAUUUUGCUUUUACUCUAUUCCAUAUUGCCUCUUCUGGAUAUGCCCAAUGAUGACUGCUUGUUGUGAUAUUGUACUCUGAAUAUCAUUCACAGUCUUUCCAUCCAUUCUGCCUUUCUUCACACUGCCAUCACUAAGUUUCUUCUUAUUCUUCUUCUUCAUCAUUGCUGUCACUAUCACCUUCAUCAUCAUCAUCAUCAUCAUUAUUAUUAUUAUUAUUAUUAUUAAUUAAUUCUUAGUGACAGUGGGUUGAGAUGGCGGAGGUUGCGGGCAUUUGUGAUGUGUGCACUGCCUUCAUGGAUGCUGAGAGGCUUUUAUGGAUGUUGAAAAAGUACAAACAUAUCAAUAUCUGAGGGCUGAGGUGCUAUCUUCAGUUAUACUCUAGAUAUCAUAUUACUUUUGGUUGUAUUUUGGCAUUUGUGUUUUAUUAACUACUUGGUUUUUAAAUAUAUAAUAGUUGUCAGCAUCAAAUUUUUCCUUCUUUCUCUUUUAUCUCAAACUACUGAUUAGUUCCUUAAGUUGUUUAUUCCUACUUUUCAAUUUUCAUUUCUUGUAGAUUUGCUGCAAUACAAUCAAAGACAAUCAAUUUUGCUUGUUCAAUUGCCUUGGGAUAAAUUUGCAUAUAAUUCCUUUUGGAUAUGCCCGAUGACGAAUUUUCACUACUAGAUAUACUCCACUAAAUAAUCAAUCAAAGCUUUUCCAUCCAUUGUGCCUUUCUCCCAUCUGUCAUCACUAACUAUGCUGCUGUUGUUGUUGUUGUACUACUACUAUUUCUUCUUCUUCUUCUUCAACAUCAUUGUUGUCAUUUACUACUACUGACAGUGGGUGGAGAUGAUAGAGGUUGUGUGCUUGUUAAUUAUGUGCACUACCAUGAUGGAUGGCGGGAGGCUUUUAUGCAUGUUGAAAAAGUACUAAUCUACUGUUAUCUGAGGGCACAGUUGCUAUCUUGUAUUUGAAUAACUGUCAGUGAUUUCUUUGUGAUAUUUCUUUGAUACGAUAAUUUCAUGAAUCAUGACAAUCAUCAUUCCUGUUUUUUUGUGCUAGUAUUGUAUUGUCUUGUUAAUUCUAGUUUUGCAUGUAUUUGCCGCCCAUGUUGGAGAGAAUGAUUGUGAUAAGUUUAUGUAAACUCCAAAUUUUCAAGUUUUGUUUAAGUGUGUUUAUAAUUAGAGCCACAGGUAGUAAUGUUUGAAGUUGGACAGUGUAUAUUAUUUAAGUUUCCCCUUGUUUUCUCUUUUGGUGUCUUUUUUUUUUUUAUUACCGCAUAACAUUGAAUUUCUUCUGUUUCUAAACUUUUACCUUUCCUCUCCUAAUCUCCUUUUCUACAUAUGGCAAUAAUUCUCCAUGACUUUUGCAAAUAAAUUCAAGACUGCAAUUGAGUGCUUCAAUUUUAGAAUCCUUCUAAAGGUCAAAAGGUCAAGAAUGCUGUCUUGUUGGGGAACUAAAUAUAGGGAAUAGGUGGUUAUUGGUGGUUGUGUAGGAGACAAUGUUAGAUGGGUCCCACCAUUAAGACCUGUAUUUGAAAUGUAACUAACCAACUGGCUAUUGAAAUGUAUAUGGGAUAGUCAACAAAGUCUUACUCUUGCAUGGAGUGACUAUUGAAAUGUAUAUGGUAGAAUAUUUUGUAUGUA